UACAGAGGUCCCAAGCGUUGUUCGGAUUCACUGGGCGUAAAGGGUGCGUAGGCGGUCGGGUAAGUCUGAUGUGAAAUCUCCAAGCCUAACUUGGAAACUGCAUUGGAUACUAUCCGGCUCGAGGAAUGGAGGGGAGACUGGAAUACUUGGUGUAGCAGUGAAAUGCGUAGAUAUCAAGUGGAACACCAGUGGCGAAGGCGACUCUCUGGACAUUUCCUGACGCUGAGGCACGAAAGCCAGGGGAGCAAACGGG
rnacentral:rRNA from 1 species